rnacentral:rRNA from 1 species
UACAGAGGUCUCAAGCGUUGUUCGGAUUCAUUGGGCGUAAAGGGUGCGUAGGCGGCGCGGUAAGUCGGGUGUGAAAUCUUGGAGCUUAACUCCGAAACUGCAUUCGAUACUGCCGUGCUUGAGGACUGGAGAGGAGACUGGAAUUUACGGUGUAGCGGUGAAAUGCGUAGAUAUCGUAAGGAAGACCAGUGGCGAAGGCGGGUCUCUGGACCGGUACUGACGCUGAGACGCGAAAGCCGGGGGAGCAAACGGG